GCUAUGGCUGACUGAACAGAAUUAGAAACUUGACAGGCAAACUGCGUCAACAUCUACUAAAUGACAUCAGCAAGCCUGUGAACUCAUGGCUGCUGCUUUCUGUUCUAUGAGAAAUGGUUCAAUCAGGUGGAUGUGAAGUUGGAGCCAAACAAAAGCAGACGGUUACCUCAGGGAUUCAUACCAGAUGGGAGAGGAGGUUAUGUUAACCAAGAAAAUGUCAUCUUCAGCUCCCUGCCAAGACUACAGCAUCUGUAAAGGCAGAAACCUACUUCAGUCUACAUUCACACUGCUGUCCUUGGCUUCAGAUGCUACUCUGGGGUUUCAGAAAGUGCUUGGGAUGCUCACUAUCUUCUCUUACUUAUUGUUGGAAACCGUAACAUUAGUACAAGUAAAAAGCAUUGAGGUGGUUGAGAUGGGAGCAAUGAUCAACUGGGCAUUGUCUGCUCUAGCUGUCUGCUUCUAGCUGUUGAACUCUGCCUACUAGACCAUUCUGCUGAAGACUUUCUACCAACCCUGCUUCAGAGGGUCUGUCUCUUAUCAAGAACUCUCAUUUACAAACCAACCAGCCUGUUGAGAUCCUAGCUAACUAGAUAGCAAAUUCACCAAAUUCCAUCCAGAAACACUUGAGCAUGAAUCCUUAUGGUUGAGUGGGAGACAAAGUAGAGCUCAGAGACUUGAAUUUUAAAUUCUUGGCUCUUCUAGAGACCUGGAUCCCUGGGCAAGUUUUUGCCUCAUUUGCCUUAUGUAUAUAAAUGAGAUUUUAUCUAUAAACUUAGAAUAUCUGCCUAAUGUAUUACUUUUGAGUACUUUGAGUAAAUUGGAAGUCACUAGCAAUGCAUGCUAAUAAGGGUUGCAAAAAAUGAAGAUUAGAUUAAAUAAAUGAAGAUUGGAUUAAAUAAAAGUGGCA
rnacentral:lncRNA from 1 species